UCAAGCAAAUAAGGGCGCACGGUGGAUGCCCUGGCACCAGAAGCCGAAGAAGGACGCGAUAAGCUGCGAUAAGCUGCGAGUAGCCGCAAAUAGGCUGUGAUUCGCAGAUUUCCGAAUGGGGAAACCUAAUGUGCAAACGCACAUUACUUUAAGCUGAAUAAAUAGGUUUAAAGGGGGAUACCUGGGGAACUGAAACAUCUAAGUACCCAGAGGAAGAGAAAGAAUAAUCGAUUUCCUAAGUAGCGGCGAGCGAACGGGAAAGAGCCCAAACCAAGCCCUUCGGGGAUUGGGGUUGAGGACAGACAGAAGUGUAAAGUAAAAUUUAAUUGAAGAGGUCUGGAAAGGCCCGCCAUAGAAUGUAACGGCCAUGUAAGUAAAAAGAAGAACUUUACCAGUCUGAUCCAGAGUACCACGAGACACGUGAAACCUUGUGGGAAGCAGGGAGGACCACCUCCCAAGGCUAAAUACUAACUGGUGACCGAUAGCGAAUAGUACCGUGAGGGAAAGGCGAAAAGAACCCCAGAAGGGGAGUGAAAUAGAACCUGAAACCGUGUGCUUACAAGCAGUCGGAGCUCGUUAAGGAGUGACGGCGUGCUUUUUGUAGAACGAGCCAGCGAGUUACGGUAUGCAGCGAGGUUAAGCACUUAAGGUGCGAAGCCGGAGGGAAACCGAGUCUGAAUAGGGCGCUAAGUUGUAUGCUGUAGACCCGAAACCGGGUGACCUAUCCAUGGACAGGAUGAAGUUGAGGUAAAACUCAAUGGAGGUCCGAACUAAAUUGGUGUUGAAAAACCAUGAGAUGAUCUGUGGAUAGCGGAGAAAUUCCAAUCGAACUCGGAGAUAGCUGGUUCUCCCCGAAAUAGCUUUAGGGCUAGCCUUGGAUGAUGAGCUUUGGAGGUAGAGCACUGAAUGGACUAGGGGCUGUAUAAGCUACCAAACCCUAUCAAACUCCGAAUGCCAAAGUUUUAAUCCAGGAGUCAGACUACGAGUGAUAAGAUCCGUGGUCAAAAGGGAAACAGCCCAGACCAUCAGCUAAGGUCCCAAAAUGCAGAUUAAGUGGUAAAGGAGGUGAGAUCUCAAAGACAACCAGGAUGUUGGCUUAGAAGCAGCCAUACAUUCAAAGAGUGCGUAAUAGCUCACUGGUCGAGAGGUCUUGCACCGAAGAUGUCCGGGGCUCAAAUCUGCUACCGAAGCUAUGGAUGUAUGAAAAUACGUGGUAGGGGAGCAUCGUAUACGGAGCGAAGCCAUAUCGUAAGGAGUGGUGGACUGUAUACGAGAGAGAAUGCUGGCAUAAGUAACGAAAGAUAGGUGAGAAUCCUAUCCAUCGAAAACCUAAGGUUUCCUGAGGAAGGUUCGUCCACUCAGGGUUAGUCGGGACCUAAGUCGAGGCCGAAAGGCGUAGAUGAUGGACAAUCGGUUGAAAUUCCGAUACCACCUUUAAGCGUUUAAGAAAAGGGGUGACGCAGGAGGAUAAGCUGAGCGCACGGAUGGAAAAGUGCGUCUAAGAACUAAGUCAGACCUUCAAGGAAAAUCCGGGAGGUGACGAUAAGGUUUAAUGGGGAGCCGUAAGGCGAAGCAGCUGAAUUCACACUGCCAAGAAAAGCCUCUAUCGAGCAAGAAGGUGCCCGUACCGCAAACCGACACAGGUAGGUGAGGAGAGAAUCCUAAGAUGAGCGAGAGAACCCUUGUUAAGGAACUCGGCAAAUUAACCCCGUAACUUCGGGAGAAGGGGUACUCAAAAGAGUCGCAGUUAAAAGGCCCAAGCAACUGUUUAGCAAAAACACAGGUCUCUGCUAAGUCGCAAGACGAUGUAUAGGGGCUGACGCCUGCCCGGUGCUGGAAGGUUAAGGGGAGAGGUUAGCGAAAGCGAAGCUUUAAACUUAAGCCCCAGUAAACGGCGGCCGUAACUAUAACGGUCCUAAGGUAGCGAAAUUCCUUGUCGGGUAAG
rnacentral:rRNA from 1 species